CAAUAGCGUAUAUUAAAGUUGUUGCAGUUAAAAAGCUCGUAGUUGGAUUUGUGGCGUACGGUGCGUUCCGGGCACUUGUUGUCUGAGUAACCUGCUGUUGCCAUCCUUGGGUGGAACCUGUGUGGCAUUAGGUUGUCGUGCAGGGGAUGCCCAUCAUUUACUGUGAAAAAAUUAGAGUGUUCAAAGCAGGCUUAUGCCGUUGAAUAUAUUAGCAUGGAAUAAUGAGAUAGGACUUUCUUGCUAUUUUGUUGGUUUGCGCAAAGAGGUAAUGAUUAAUAGGGACAGUUGGGGGUAUUCGUAUUCCAUUGUCAGAGGUGAAAUUCUUGGAUUUUUGGAAGACGAACUACUGCGAAAGCAUUUACCAAGGAUGUUUUCAUUAA
rnacentral:rRNA from 1 species